AGUUUGAUCCUGGCUCAGGAUGAACGCUGGCGGCGUGCCUAACGCAUUCAAGUCAAACGGACUUAAGGAAGCUUGCUUCCUUAAAUUAGUGGCGGACGGGUGAGUAACGCAUGAGUAACCUGCCAAUACCAGUGGAAUAACACAGGGAAACUUGUGCUACUACCGCAUAAAAUGUAUUAUUCGCAUGUGUGAUACAUCAAAGACAAUCUCGUAUAGAUGGACUCUCGUCUGAUUAGAUAGUUGGUGAGGUAACGGCUCACCAAGUCUACGAUCAGUAGCCGAACAGAGAGGUUGAACCGCCACAUUGGAACUGACAAACCGUCCAAACUCCUACGGGAAGCACCACUGGGGAAUAUUGGGCAAUGACGAAAGUCUGACCCAACGACUCCCCGUGAGGGAAGAAGGUCUACGGAUUGAAAACCUCUGGUGAUACGGAAGAAUAAAGUGACGGUACCUAUCUAGGAAGCCACGGCUAACUACCUGCCAGCAGCGGCGGUAAUAGGUAGGUGGCAAGCGUUAUCCGGAAUUAGUGGGUGUAAAGGGUGGGUAGGCGGGACAGCAAGUCAGAUAAUAAAUCUAUGGGCUCAACCCAUAGCAGGCAUUUGAAACAGUUGUUAUUGAGUCUGGGAGAGGUAAAAGGAAUUCCCAGUGGAGGGGAGAAACGGGUAUAUAGAGGGACGAACACCAGGGGGGAAGGUGUUUUGGUGGUAGACAACGGACGGGGAGACAAGCAAGCGUGGGGAGCAAACAGGAUUAGAUACCCUGGUAGUCCACGCUGUAAACGAUGAAUGCUAGGUGUAGGGCCGGAAGGUUCUGCGCCGCAGUUUACACAAUAAGCAUUCCACCUGGGGAGUACGGCCGCAAGGUUGAAACUCAAAGGAAUUGACGGGGGCCCGCACAAGCAGUGGAUUAUGUGGUUUAAUUCGACGCAACGCGAAGAACCUUACCAGGACUUGUCAUCCAACUAUCGUAGCAGAGAUGCAUUAGGUGCCCUUCGGGGAAAGUUGAGACAGAUGGUGCAUGGUUGUCGUCAGCUCGUGUAGUGAGAUGUUGGUUUAAGUCCCGCAACGAGCGCUACCCCUAUUGUUAGUUGUUACGCUAGUGCACUCUAGCGAGACUUCCGCCGACAAAACGGAGGAAGGCGGGGAGGACGUCAAAUCAUCAUGCCCCUUAUGUCCUGGGCUACACACGUAAUACAAUGGCCGUCAACAAAGGGAAGCAUAGCCGCGAGGUGGAGCAAUCCCCCAAAAAUGGUCUCAGUUUGGAUCGCAGGUUGCACCUUGCCUGCACGAAGAUGGAACUGCUAGUAAUCGCGGAUCAGCAUGCCGCGGUGAAUAAGUUCCCGGCCCUUGCACUCACAACCCGUCA
rnacentral:rRNA from 1 species